GCCCUAGUAGCUCAGUCGGUAGAGUGUUAGGCUUUUAACCUAAUUGUCCAGGCUUCGAGUGCCUGCUCGGGCG